CCCUGCAUUCGUAAGUGAUCAGGGGGCACCCAUGUCCUGGUCAUUGGUGGUGCAGGCAGAGGAAAUGUGGAAAGAAUUGUCCUAUGUUUGGAAGGCUGCAUGCUUGCCUUCCAUUUCUAGGAGCUUUCCCACA
rnacentral:snoRNA from 1 species